rnacentral:rRNA from 1 species
UGAGCAACCUGCCCUUAGCUCUGGGAUAAACCCCGGGGAAACCGGGGCUAAUACCGGAUACGAGUCCGAGCGGCAUCACACGGACUGGAAAGUUUUUCGGCUAAGCAUGGGCUCGCGGCCUAUCAGCUUGUUGGUGGGGUAAUGGCCCACCAAGGCGACGACGGAUAGCCGGCCUGAGAGGGCGACCGGCCACACUGGGACUGAGACACGGCCCAGACUCCGUACGGGAGCAGCA